rnacentral:rRNA from 1 species
GCAUAUCAAUAAGCGGAGGAAAAGAAACCAACAGGGAUUGCCCUAGUAACGGCGAGUGAAGCGGCAACAGCUCAAAUUUGAAAUCUGGCUCUCUUUGGGGGUCCGAGUUGUAAUUUGCAGAGGAUGCUUUGGCAUUGGCGGCGGUCUAAGUUCCUUGGAACAGGACAUCACAGAGGGUGAGAAUCCCGUACGUGGUCGCCUGCCUUUGCCGUGUAAAGCUCCUUCGACGAGUCGAGUUGUUUGGGAAUGCAGCUCUAAAUGGGAGGUAAAUUUCUUCUAAAGCUAAAUACUGGCCAGAGACCGAUAGCGCACAAGUAGAGUGAUCGAAAGAUGAAAAGUACUUUGGAAAGAGAGUCAAAAAGCACGUGAAAUUGUUGAAAGGGAAGCGCUUGCAGCCAGACUUGCCCGCAGUUGCUCACCUAGGCUUUGGCCUGGGGCACUCUUCUGCGGGCAGGCCAGCAUCAGUUUGGGCGGUUGGAUAAAGGCCUCUGUCACGUAUCUCCCUUCGGGGUGACCUUAUAGGGGAGGCGCAAUGCAACCAGCCCGGACUGAGGUCCGCGCAUCUGCUAGGAUGCUGGCGUAAUGGCUGUAAGCGGCCCGUCUUGAAACACGGACCAAGGAGUCUAACAUCUAUGCGAGUGUUUGGGUGUCAAGCCCGAGCGCGCAAUGAAAGUGAACGGAGGUGGGAACCCUUUGGGUGCACCAUCGACCGAUCCUGAUGUCUUCGGAUGGAUUUGAGUAAGAGCAUAGCUGUUGGGACCCGAAAGAUGGUGAACUAUGCUUGAAUAGGGUGAAGCCAGAGGAAACUCUGGUGGAGGCUCGCAGCGGUUCUGACGUGCAAAUCGAUCGUCAAAUUUGGGCAUAGGGGCGAAAGACUAAUCGAACCAUCUAGUAGCUGGU